ensembl:lncRNA
AAGUGUUGAUACUGCACAGGAACGAACCAGUCACUGUGGUAUUAAGGGCGUCAUUUGAGAAAAGACUCCCAACUUCGGAUGCUAUUUUCCACUGAAAACUUGAGGAAAGACACAGGACUAAAACACGCUGGGACCAACAACCAUGGCGAUAGGCGGAAAAGGCUGGAUCAAGCUUGGAGCGUCAAACAGGUUAUGCCCUGUUUUGUGAUUAACCCUGGCAGCCAUACACUACAGCUGGAAGCGCAACACAACAUCCAGCACCGUGAAGCUCCAAGGCUGUAGACAUGACAAGGACAGAGCAGAUCUGUCAGCUGUACAUCUAUGAUCCCAUCUACCAUUCUACCACAUCCCAAAGGUGCUCUGCUGGAUUGAGAUCUGGAAACUGCGGAAACCUUUUAAGUGCAGUGAACUCACUGUCAUGUUCAAGAAACCAGUUUGAGACAAUUUGAGCUUGUGUCAUCCUUCCAGAAGCACCCAUCAGAAGAUGGGUACACUGUGGUCAUAAAGAGAUGGACAGGAUCAGCAACAAUACUCAGCUAAAAGAUAACGCCCAGUAGCUGAAACGGUGGAUGCUUUCAUCAGUGAGAGUAACUGAAGAACCAAACAAGAGGAAAAGAGUAACAGAUUGUAAAACAAGAAAAAAAAACAUGGCCUAAUGGAGACAGCCGGAUGGAUGUUGAGAUGGUUAAAAAGCAAAACGUCACUUCGUAUUAGUUCCAUUAGAUGCUUUUCUUAUAAGCCUAAUUGAAACUGUAGGGCAUAAAACCACUGCAGGUGUGAUGUGAGUGAUAAAGGGGGAAAAAAU